CGUCAGUCUGGCAGGGUAACAUCCCAAGUAGGGCAAGAGGUACUCACCCGAAUCACACCCCUAGCAUUUAAAUGUUCGAUUGUAAUGCUCGCUCGCCAUUGUUCUUAGAUCUUGCUUCCAUUAUCUAGGUUUUUCAUUCAAGGGUGGAUUAGUCGUAGAGGGCGAAGAUGUCUGACUUAUUUAGCGGGAUCCAAGCAGCUAUGGUUAUCAAUCGAGUAGAGAAUAGUGAGCAGUCACCUGAAGAUUGGAACAGUGACUGUGAUGGAUCCGGUGUCUCUGUGCACGUUAAUAC
rnacentral:lncRNA from 1 species